rnacentral:piRNA from 1 species
UGAAUGAUUUAGCCCAAGUCUGUGAGGUGUC